CUACUUACCUGGCAGGGGAGACACCAGGAUCAGAAAGGUGGUUUUCCCAGGGCAAGGCUCAUCCAUUGCACUCCAGGUGUGCUGACCCCUGCGAUUUUCCCAAAUGCGGGGAAACCCAACUGCAUAAUUUGUGGUAGUGGGGGACUGCGUGUUUGAGCUCUUCCCUG
rnacentral:snRNA from 1 species